rnacentral:rRNA from 1 species
UACGUAGGGUGCAAGCGUCAAUCGGAAUUACUGGGCGUAAAGGGUGCGCAGGCGGUUCGGAAAGAAAGAUGUGAAAUCCCAGGGCUUAACCUUGGAACUGCAUUUUUGACUUCCGGGCUAGAGUGUGUCAGAGGGAGGUGGAAUUCCGCGUGUAGCAGUGAAAUGCGUAGAGAUGCGGAGGAACACCGAUGGCGAAGGCAGCCUCCUGGGACAACACUGACGCUCAGGCACGAAAGCGUGGGGAGCAAACAGG